ACGGAGGGUGCAAGCGUUAAUCGGAAUUACUGGGCGUAAAGCGCGCGUAGGUGGUUAGGUCAGUCAGAUGUGAAAGCCCCGGGCUCAACCUGGGAAUUGCACCUGAUACUGCCUAGCUAGAGUACAGUAGAGGGGUGUGGAAUUUCCUGUGUAGCGGUGAAAUGCGUAGAUAUAGGAAGGAACACCAGUGGCGAAGGCGACACCCUGGACUGAUACUGACACUGAGGUGCGAAAGCGUGGGGAGCAAACAGG
rnacentral:rRNA from 1 species